rnacentral:rRNA from 12 species
AUUAGCAGAUCUCAGGACUGUUCCUGGUUAGUACUUGGAUGGGCAACCAAGUUGAAAGACUAGGGGCUGCUAGCC